GAAAAGGUCUUUUUACCUAAAAUAUUUCACAAAAUAUUUCACGCCUUCUAAAUGGACGAUUAAUGACAAGUGCUCUGCCUCCGCAAGGUUUUGAUUGCCGUUAUCGCCGCCGUCUAUUAGUCUUCAUCCUCUCCACUUUCCUUGCCUUCACUGUUCUCGCUCAAUCCCUCAAGCUCCACACUUUGGUACUUUCCCUUUUUCUUUUUCUAUUUAUUGGCUUAGGCAUGCGGUGAAAGAGAAAACCCCCCCACCAAAUUCCCCUACUGACAUUUUUUCAGAAACUUCUGAUAGUCUAUCCAUACUUCCAGGAAGUUUGAAAAAGCAAUAAAGCUUAAGCAAUGGCCAUUCCGUUUAUUAUAAACAAAGUUUUGUUGAAUAAAUCCGUCCAUAUCCAGCGACUACUUUCAAACCACCACCAAAUGCUUGAUCUUUUGUCAAUGAGAAGGAUGUGGUACCAACAAACCAUGUUUGGGUGGUUUCAAAUCAAACCAAUGACUUCCAGUAGACGAGUCCAAGACCGUAGCAAGAACAAAAGAAUUCACUAUCUCGAAAUUGUAAAAGAGAAAUGGAAAAUAUUAUCAAAAGUACUGUUUUUGAUGGAACUUUUAAAGAAAGAAAAAGAGAUGGUUAUCCCCUUAAGGUCAUUGGACAGAUACAGGAAGCAACUUAAUUUGCCAAAACCCCAUAAAAUAACUGAUUUUAUUAGGAAAUGUCCCAAGUUGUUUGAAUUAUACAAGGAUCAAAGGGGAACCUUAUGGUGUGGAAUGACUAAAGGAGCUGAGGAUUUGUUGGAAGAAGAGGAAAGGUUGAUUGAGGAACAAUCAACCAAAGCUGUUGAGUAUGUUACUAGGAUUUUAAUGAUGUCAGUUGAUAAAAGGAUUCAGUUAGAUAAGAUUGCUCAUUUUAGGAGAGAUUUUGGUUUGCCAAUUGAGUUUAGGACCAAGUGGGUGAAUCAGUAUCCCCAACAUUUUAGGGUGGAAAAAUCUAAAGAUGGGGUUGAGUUUUUGGAGCUUGUAAAUUGGGAUCCUGCUUGGGCUAUUACAGAGUUGGAGAAAAGAACAUUGGGUUUGAAUGAUGGGAUUGGACGUGAACCGGGUAUACUUUCUUUGCCUUUUCCUUUGAAGUUCCCUCCUAACUACAAAAAGGUGUAUAGACAUGGAGGGAAGAUUGAGCAUUUUCAGAAAAGGUCUUAUUUGUCUCCCUAUGCAGAUGCUAGGGAGCUGAAAGCGGGGUCAUUGGAAUUUGAUAAGAGGGCGGUUGCAGUUAUGCACGAGUUACUUAGCUUUACCAUUGAGAAGAGAUUGGUGACUGACCAUCUCACUCAUUUUCGACGGGAACUUGUGAUGCCACAGAAGUUGAUGAGGCUUCUUUUGAAGCAUUUUGGCAUCUUUUAUGUUUCUGAAAGGGGGAAGAGGUUUAGUGUCUUCUUGACUGAAGCUUAUGAAGGUUCUGAGCUGAUUGAGAAAUGCCCAUUGGUGCUUUGGAAGGAAAAGGUCCUGAGCCUUAUUGGUUAUAGAGGAAAGAAGAAAGAGGUUCCUACUUUCAGUGACCUGUCAGACAUGGAGGAAAGGGAUAUAAUUGAGGAAAAGGAUAUUAUCGAGGGUGAUACUGAGAUGGAAGACACAUGUGCAGAUUUUGAGGAAGAGGAAAUCAUGGGUGGUUUAGAUGCUGUUUCACCUACUAAUGAUGAUGAGUUGGAGAUUUCUCAUUUUUGCAAUUCAUACAAAGGCACUAGUUAAACUUGAGGUUAUUUUCUUUUGGACGUUUAGUUUUUGUGUCACUUCAGUCAAGUUUGAAAGUUCAAAGAUGUCAUUACUUUUAAAUGAAAAAAUUUAAGCAAAGCUUAUUGCCUCCUUGAUAACUGUUUGUAAGUGUUUUACUGUCUUUUUCUAGCUGUCAUCUUCCCUGUGUAUAGAAGUUAUGUGUUGAAAAUGAACUAAAAGCUUAAUAUGCAUUUGAAGUAAUAAAUGUUAAGAUAUUCACAGCUCAAGUUGUCCCUUUAAGCAGUCCUCUGAGCUCAUGACUUGUAGCUUCCUGUAUCUGAAACUGAUUGGUGGUUCUUGAUAAGAAUUCGCCAUUUGUUUCCCAAAAAGUUUUGACUGCUUUUCACAUUGAGGUAUAUGGAUUUCCGCCGGGAUUUCAGUUAUAUAUGCAUAGAUUCCUACGUAAUUUGUACCCAACAUGGAUGGAUAGCAAUUAAUAUCACAUCCCAUGCUUGCUUCUGAUAUUUUGAUAUUCAGAUUCUGUUUGUUGAUUCUGAAAUUUGGAAAAUAGUCUCUCCAUUAUUUUGGGAUUUAAUGGUAGCCAUUUGAAACUUCUAACCAAUGUUUAGUAUGAUGCGAUACUUAUUAUUGGCAAUGUUGCAAUGACUUACAUUUUCAAUUGUGACCUUUUCUCUUCGCGCAUGAAGAUAUGUUAUCUGAUUGAAGCUCACUUUAUAUGAAUAGAGCUUCUUCACUGUACUUCUAUUAAUUGGUCUUAUCAGAUACAAGCUUUUCUUUUAGAGUGAACACUAUAAAGUCUAUAAUAGUAAAACCUUUAUGAAUGGAUUGUCUAUUCUCGAAGAACGCUGAUUGGAACAUAGGCCUAUCAUUAUUUGUUCAACUAUAUUUUUCCAAAUUAUUUCUUGUCUUUCUUUUGUUUAAACAAUUCAUUGUUUCAGAUAUUCCCCUCUAUUCAGAUUGCAUGUUCAGCUAGCAGACAGGUUUAUAUAUACGGGUGCUUUUAUCUUGGAUGUUAGCAAUUCUAAUUUGCAAGAUUGCAUAAUAGCAUGAGUUCUUAGUACGAAAUCUUUCCUUCAACUUGGGAUUUUGUCUGGGUUUUACAAUUGAAAAAGAGAACUCCUUCAACAGUGGAAAUAUUUAAAGUGAAAGGACAGCAGAAAAGUUCUGAGACAUGAAGGUCAUGGCACAGCAGCAAGAAAUUCGGCCAAUGACUGGACCAUGUUCCAUUUUCAUACUGCAUAGAAUCAAAUUUGAAAGCUUCUGUCA